AGUGAACGCUGGCGGCAGGCCUAACACAUGCAAGUCGAGCGGCAGCGCGUCCGACCACCCUCGGGUGGUCGGAUGGCGGCGAGCGGCGGACGGGUGAGGAAUGCAUCGGAAUCUGCCUCGUUGUGGGGGAUAACGUAGGGAAACUUACGCUAAUACCGCAUACGACCUACGGGUGAAAGUGGGGGACCUUCGGGCCUCACGCGAUGAGAUGAGCCGAUGCCGGAUUAGCUAGUUGGCGGGGUAAAGGCCCACCAAGGCGACGAUCCGUAGCUGGUCUGAGAGGAUGAUCAGCCACACUGGAACUGAGACACGGUCCAGACUCCUACGGGAGGCAGCAGUGGGGAAUAUUGGACAAUGGGGGCAACCCUGAUCCAGCCAUGCCGCGUGUGUGAAGAAGGCCUCGG
rnacentral:rRNA from 1 species